AUGCUGUAAUUUCUCUCUGCAUUCAUCUUUUCUGAACUCCUGUGUUGUGUCAAGUGGAUUUACUUGUGACAGAAAGGUUUUCUGUAUAUGAACUCUGUUCAUCACUACUUGGUAUCAGGACACAUUGCUUGUAGGAAGCCCCAAAGAAAUCUGCCCACUGAUGAUAUGAAAAAAGCCAUCUUUAAAAGAAGUUUAAUAGUAAACAAAAUUUUCAACAAAACAUGAACAAGCAGUAGGAAUCUCAAAAACAUCCACAAUUGGACGAUG